GAUGAACUAAUAAAUGAUCAUAUGUCCUCUUCCUUGUGCAGUAGAAAGAGGAGAAUAUUUUAAGCUAAAGAUAUUACUUUUAUAUUUCAUGGAUGAUUUUGAAAAGUUAUGCAUAACAUGAUCAAGUUAAUAUUUCAGAAUUAUCUCAAAGGAAUCGUGAUUGCAAAGAAAGAAUGGGAAUCAAUUCUAACAGAUAUGAUAUCAGUGGCUCAACGACCAAAAUAUCAAUAUUUGGGGGGAAGAGAUGGAUAAAGAGGGAUAUGGAGAGAAAGAAGUAUUUAGAGAAAGAGUGCUUUCGGAUAAAGAGGGAUAUGGAGAGAAAGAAGUAUUUAGGGACGUCUUCCGACCGAACUCUACGGAGUGCUUUCGGACAUCGCCUCGCUCUCUCGAUCACCGUAUUUUGUGUCUUGUCGUUUUUCUUUCAUCAAAAGAGAGUUUCAUGGAACCACGGACUUAUAUGCUAAGGCUUACUUGCAUUCUGGUCCAGACCCAUGUAUCUCUUGAACAUUAUCCUUUAAUAUAUCUUUUGGUUUGACCAAAAAAAAGAGUAAAACAAUAUAUGCAAUUAAUUGGCAUGAUAUUAAAUUAGUGAAUCCCUUCGGUUGCUAAAAAAAUAUUAAAUUAUUUUUUAAUAUAUUCACCAACCAUGAUAUAUUACAUAGAUAUUUACAUAUAAACAAAAAAUAUGUACUUUUAUAUAUAAUAUACUAAUAAAUAAAUUUAUGGUAACAUACACCAACAAUCAUAAAUUAUAUAAAUUUUUUCACGUAUAUAGGGAAGCUAAUCGUCUAGCAGAUGGAUUAGCUAACUAUGCGUUUUCUUUACCGUUUGGCUUACAUUAUUUUGAGUCGGCUCCAGAGCAUGUUGCUCCUGUUUUGUUGGAGGAUUGUAAUGGGAUGCCCAGAACUCGGCGGGUUUGCCUGUAGAUGUUGAUUUUGUUUUGAAAUAAAAAGUAGGAGACUCAUGUCUCCUGUCGUUUA